rnacentral:rRNA from 1 species
UACGUAGGGUGCGAGCGUUAAUCGGAAUUACUGGGCGUAAAGCGUGCGCAGGCGGUUUUGUAAGCCAGAUGUGAAAUCCCCGGGCUUAACCUGGGAAUGGCAUUUGGGACUGCAAGGCUCGAGUGCGGCAGAGGAGACUGGAAUUCCUGGUGUAGCAGUGAAAUGCGUAGAUAUCAGGAGGAACACCGAUGGCGAAGGCAGGUCUCUGGGCUGACACUGACGCUCAUGCACGAAAGCGUGGGGGAGCAAAC